GGGGCGAAGGGAGCGUGGGAGACGCACUGCAAGGUGCGGCCGAGGGCGGAGCUUGAAGGGCGCUGGUCGGGGCCGGGCGUGGCGCGGUUGGGGCGCAGGGCACGGGAGCCGCUGGGGCGAGCGGGCGGUCCCGGGUCGCGGGUCACGGGGCGCGGCGGCACGGACACGCAAAGGCGGGAGCCGACGCCAGGGGUACUUGGUUUCUGCUGUCCUCCCCCUUGCUUGUUUGGUGGUGGCCGGCCGUUUAUGCUCUGCUGGGUUGGUGAUGCUGAGUGCAGAGCUGCAAUUCAUCUUCUUUUCCUCUAGACCGUGCUGAUGUAAAAGAGUUCUGUAUAGCUGUCAUUCUACUUCUAAAGACCGCUAGGAUACCAGGCCAUACGAGACACUUGCGGAGGCAAAUUCAUCCAGACAGAUUGUAGAUAGUUGGAUUCAAGAGUCAGAGGAUUAGUGCUUUUGGUGAUCCAAUUUGGCAAGAACACGAAGAAGGCUGAGUUGGUGAUGGCCCCUUAUGAGAGUGGCACUGGUAACGGGAAGCUUCUAUGACGUUGAAGAGGCUGCUGAGCAACCCACAGCUGCCUCCUCUCUUCCUCCCAAUCGGAAUGGAGCGGCAGCAAGCUGGGUAGGACGGCCCCUCAAGUGAAGAACCGGUUGGAAGCGGCGACAGCUCCCGCUGUUGGAAGCGACGGGGGUGACUGGACGCGGCCGAGCGGCAGCAUGCGGUUUGCUUCUCCCUCCCCUCCCUCGCUCUUCCUCUUUACAUGUCUCUCUCAGCUCUCUCUUUUUAGCUGCAGGGAAUGGUGGCUGGGGAACACACUAACGGGUCCAUGGGGCAGGUCGCAGGCUCGCAUCCAGCCUCGAAUUCAUGGGAGCCCUGCUCCAGCGUGAAGGGCAGGAUUGGAUACAACAUGGUCAUUUAGGAUGGCGUCAACACGGAGAGUGGUGGCGGCGCGACGCCUCGAGCUCGAGAAGUCGUCCAUAGCUGGCCUGGGAUCGAGAUCUGGCAGACCGCUCGGCCCCGGCAAUGUCCACGGCGCUGCGAACCCCGGUCGGAACACAUCAGCCUGUUCUCAUUUAACUCCCCUCGCUGGUUGAGCUUCUCUUUAUCAUUUCAUCCUGAAUUUUUUACUCAAAUAUGUCUUGUUUUGGAUGAUUGCUGGGCCGAAUAUAACAGGGAUCAUAAGGUGUGGGGAUAAACUUGACACAAAUCAAUUGCUUAUAUCAUUUUCAGUAGAGAGCAAAUGUGAAAGUAUAUUUUUACAGGAUUCAAUAAAUCCAUUUAAUCUUGCUAUACAUCAAUAGAUUCAUGUUAACUGCUACGUUGUGCAAAAUAAAUCAUGUGCGUGUGCGUGCACGUGCAUAAAUCUGCUCUCCUGAAAGUGAUGAAAUAUCUUUUUUUUCUUGCAGCCUUCCGCUGAUUACCAGGAUUUUGAACUCAUAAAGCUUCUUUGCAUAUUCAUUAUGAUUUUUGUGGUGUGGCGGGAAUGGGUAUUGUACGAGUACGAGCCAAAGUUGUGCAGGAUACUUUAGAACGGAACCAGGACAUCAACUGUCAAGUGGUUUGGUGCUAAGGGUGACUACAAUGUUCUUGUUAUGUCCGUGUUGGGGCCAAGCCUAGAAGACCUUUUCAGCUCUUGCAACAGAAAUCUGUGGCUCAAAACUUUGGUUAUGCUUGCUGAUCAACUGGUAUGCUCUACAACUAAGCUUAGUUAUUCUUUGCCAUUUUGUUUUUAUUUGUUAAAUUGCAGAGAGAGCGGUCAUUUAGCCUGGACAGCUUGAUGUGAGGGUGUAACUGCUUGCUUCUCUCCCAGAUAAGUUUCCUGAAGAUUUGUUAGUUGUGCAUUUACAGAUUUAUUUCUAGGCCUCCAGGGUAUCAUGUUGUUGUACGAGCAGGUGAUUCUGAAAGUAGUGCACCCGAAUGUUCCUCCAUGAAUGGAUUUUAGCUGAUGCUUUUGUUGUGUAUGGAGAAGUUUUGAAGUUUAUGUAGGCCUUUUGUACACUUAGGCACAAUGUUCAGACAUGUGCUACUGAUUUCAAAGUAGAAAUAAACGUUUGCUUAAUUACAUACUUGCUUAUGGAACCUAGCUUUACAUAUGUAAGGCUACUCCUGUGUAACUUGGGCCUCUAUGUGGUUUCCGGCUAUCAGCUAAUAUAUUUGUUUGCACGGGCUUUGUACAUAGCUGAGUUAUAUUUUAAUGUGAUAAGUAUCAUGGCCAUGAUUAUCCAAUAUUUGAACUCGUUGGUGAAUUAGUUGAUUUUCAGGUUAUUUUGCACUGUUGCAGUUUCUCUGAACUUGGCGAUGUAGCUUGACUAUAUAAUGA